rnacentral:misc_RNA from 1 species
GAUGAAGAACGUAGUGAAAUGCGAUACUUGGUGUGAUUUGCAGAAUCCCGUGAAUCAUCGAGUCUUUGAACGCAAGUUGCGCCCGAAGCCUUUUGGCCGAGGGCACGUCUGCCUGGGUGUCACGCAACGUCGCCGCCAGCACACCCUUCCCUUAGGGGAUCGGGAUGUAGCUGGGGGCGGAUUUUGGCCUCCCGUGCGCCUCAGCGCGCGCGGUUGGCCUAAAUUUCAGCUCACGGCGAGGAUCGCCACGACAAGCGGUGGUUUUUUGAACUAAGGACCUCGGGUGUUGUCGUGCGGCCUCGCGGAGAGAAGGAACCCUCGUGCGCUAGCGCACACUCUUAACGAGACCCCAGGUCAGUCGGGAACACCCGCUGAAUUUAAGCAUAUCAAUAAGCGGAGGA